UACAGAGGGGGCAAGCGUUGUUCGGAAUUACUGGGCGUAAAGGGCGCGUAGGCGGCCCGCUAAGUCGAACGUGAAAUCCCCAGGCUCAACCUGGGAACUGCGUCCGAUACUGGCAGGCUUGAAUCCGGGAGAGGGAUGUGGAAUUCCAGGUGUAGCGGUGAAAUGCGUAGAUAUCUGGAGGAACACCAAUGGCGAAGGCAGCUCGCUGGGACGUGACUGACGCUGAGACGCGAAAGCGUGGGGAGCAAACAGG
rnacentral:rRNA from 1 species